UGGGGAAUUUUGGACAAUGGGCGAAAGCCUGAUCCAGCCAUGCCGCGUGAGUGAAGAAGGCCUUCGGGUUGUAAAGCUCUUUUAGUCGGAAAGAAAGAGUUGCAAUGAAUAAUUGUGAUUUAUGACGGUACCGACAGAAAAAGCACCGGCUAACUACGUGCCAGCAGCCGCGGUAAUACGUAGGGUGCGCGCGUUAAGCGGAAUUACUGGGCGUAAAGCGUGCGUAGGUGGUUGUGUAAGUCUGAUGUGAAAGCCCUGGGCUCAACCUGGGAUUGGCAUUGGUAACUGGGCAGCUAGAGUGCGGUAGAGGGUAGUGGAAGUCCCGGUGUUGCAGUGAAAUGCGUAGAGAUCGGGAGGAACAUGUGUGGCGAAGGCGACUGCCUGGACCAGCACUGGGACUGAGGCACGAAAGCGUGGGGAGCAAACA
rnacentral:rRNA from 1 species